rnacentral:rRNA from 1 species
UACGUAGGGGGCAAGCGCUGUCCGGAAGCAUUGGGCGUAAAGAGCGUGUAGGCGGCUCGAUAAGUCUGCUGUGAAAGUCCAGGGCUCAACCCUGGAAGGCCGGUGGAAACUGUCGGGCUAGAGUCCGGAAGAGGAGAGUGGAAUUCCUGGUGUAGCGGUGAAAUGCGCAGAUAUCAGGAAGAACACCAAUGGCGAAGGCGGCGCUCUGGACCGAGACUGACGCUGAGGCGCGAAAGCGUGGGGAGCAAACAGG